rnacentral:rRNA from 1 species
GAUGAACGCUGGCGGCGUGCCUAAUACAUGCAAGUCGAGCGAACAGACGAGGAGCUUGCUCCUCUGACGUUAGCGGCGGACGGGUGAGUAACACGUGGAUAACCUACCUAUAAGACUGGGAUAACUUCGGGAAACCGGAGCUAAUACCGGAUAAUAUAUUGAACCGCAUGGUUCAAUAGUGAAAGACGGUUUUGCUGUCACUUAUAGAUGGAUCCGCGCCGCAUUAGCUAGUUGGUAAGGUAACGGCUUACCAAGGCAACGAUGCGUAGCCGACCUAAGAGGGUGAUCGGCCACACUGGAACGGAGACACGGUCCAGACUCCUACGGGAGGCAGCAGUAGGGAAUCGUCCGCAAUGGGCGAAAGCCUGACGGAGCAACGCCGCGUGAGUGAUGAAGGUCUUCGGAGCGUAAAACUCUGUUAUUAGGGAAGAACAAAUGUGUAAGUAACUAUGCACGUCUUGACGGUACCUAAUCAGAAAGCCACGGCUAACUACGUG